GAAGAGAACCCGGCGCACCGAUUGACGACUGGCGACUGAAAUCAAAAUCAAAGUCGCCAAAUCGAACGAAAGAUACUAAAUAGAAAUGGAAAUGUUACCAUCAACGCACAGCACACAACCGUUGCGAAAAGCGGAAAACACAGUUCAAAACGGAGCCACGCGAAAAUAGCAACAAAGCAAUUUGCGGAGAGUAAAAGUGCAGUUGCUGUAGUGUGGGUGUGUGCGUGUGACUUCUAUCACGUCAAUUUUCAGCGAUCGCGAUGGAGGGCUGCCAAUCUAUGUGAAAAGCAUGCGAUCUGGUAACACUGCGUAUAGCUUGCCAAGCUUUUUUGACACUUCGCAAAGCUAUUGACUGCGCGCGCAUUUCAAAUUCAACAUUCUGCUAUAAAAUAUAAGAGACAUGUUAAAAAAUUA